AAAAACAGGAAUUUAUCCAUUCAACAGAGAUGUUAUUCCGGACACACGCUAUGCCCCAGCAAGUGUAACCGACCAGCCAGAAAUUGAACAACAUGCUACUUCCGACAAUGUAACUGAACCCAGGAUGACGCAAGAUGUUAUUUCACACCCGGAUGGUGUAUUCGAAUUAGAAGAGACAAGAGAAGAAGUGCAAAUUAGUGGAGAUCCUGCAACUCCGACGAU